rnacentral:tRNA from 1 species
UGCCCCAUGGUGUAAUGGUAACACACCUGGUUUUGGUCCAGUCAUUCCAGGUUCGAGUCCUGGUGGGGCAA